rnacentral:rRNA from 1 species
AGAGUUUGAUCCUGGCUCAGAACGAACGCUGGCGGCGUGGAUAAGACAUGCAAGUCGAACGAGAGAAUUGCUAGCUUGCUAAUAAUUCUCUAGUGGCGCACGGGUGAGUAACACGUGAGUAACCUGCCCCCGAGAGCGGGAUAGCCCUGGGAAACUGGGAUUAAUACCGCUUAGUAUCGAAAGAUUAAAGCAGCAAUGCGCUUGGGGAUGGGCUCGCGGCCUAUUAGUUAGUUGGUGAGGUAACGGCUCACCAAGGCGAUGACGGGUAGCCGGUCUGAGAGGAUGUCCGGCCACACUGGAACUGAGACACGGUCCAGACACCUACGGGUGGCAGCAGUCGAGAAUCAUUCACAAUGGGGGAAACCCUGAUGGUGCGACGCCGCGUGGGGGAAUGAAGGUCUUCGGAUUGUAAACCCCUGUCAUGUGGGAGCAAAUUAAAAAGAUAGUACCACAAGAGGAAGAGACGGCUAACUCUGUGCCAGCAGCCGCGGUAAUACAGAGGUCUCAAGCGUUGUUCGGAAUCACUGGGCGUAAAGCGUGCGUAGGCUGUUUCGUAAGUCGUGUGUGAAAGGCGCGGGCUCAACCCGCGGACGGCACAUGAUACUGCGAGACUAGAGUAAUGGAGGGGGAACCGGAAUUCUCGGUGUAGCAGUGAAAUGCGUAGAUAUCGAGAGGAACACUCGUGGCGAAGGCGGGCUCCUGGACAUUAACUGACGCUGAGGCACGAAGGCCAGGGGAGCGAAAGGGAUUAGAUACCCCUGUAGUCCUGGCAGUAAACGGUGCACGCUUGGUGUGCGGGGAAUCGACCCCCUGCGUGCCGGAGCUAACGCGUUAAGCGUGCCGCCUGGGGAGUACGGUCGCAAGAUUAAAACUCAAAGAAAUUGACGGGGACCCGCACAAGCGGUGGAGUAUGUGGCUUAAUUCGAUGCAACGCGAAGAACCUUACCUGGGCUUGACAUGUAAUGAACAACAUGUGAAAGCAUGCGACUCUUCGGAGGCGUUACACAGGUGCUGCAUGGCCGUCGUCAGCUCGUGUCGUGAGAUGUUUGGUUAAGUCCAGCAACGAGCGCAACCCCUGUUGCCAGUUACCAGCACGUGAAGGUGGGGACUCUGGCGAGACUGCCCAGAUCAACUGGGAGGAAGGUGGGGACGACGUCAGGUCAGUAUGGCCCUUAUGCCCAGGGCUGCACACGUACUACAAUGCCCAGUACAGAGGGGGCCGAAGCCGCGAGGCGGAGGAAAUCCUAAAAACUGGGCCCAGUUCGGACUGUAGGCUGCAACCCGCCUACACGAAGCCGGAAUCGCUAGUAAUGGCGCAUCAGCUACGGCGCCGUGAAUACGUUCCCGGGUCUUGUACUCACCGCCCGUCA